rnacentral:rRNA from 1 species
UACGUAGGUGGCGAGCGUUGUCCGGAUUUACUGGGCGUAAAGAGCCCGCAGGCGGCCUGGCAAGUUCUGGGUGAAAUCUCCCGGCUCAACUGGGAGGGUGCCUAGAAAACUAUCAGGCUUGAGGCAUGGAGAGGGAUGCGGAAUUCCCGGUGUAGCGGUGAAAUGCGUAGAUAUCGGGAGGAACGCCAGUGGCGAAGGCGGCAUCCUGGACAUGUCCUGACGCUGAGGGGCGAAAGCGUGGGGAGCAAACCGG